AAGCUGGCCUGUGCCCUCUGCGAGGCACUGGGCAGCCAGAUCAUUAAGUUUGCUGACAGCACACCUCCACACGUGCAGGAAAACCUCAACAGCCUUCUGGGCUGGUGAAGGUUUGAUGUUCUCCAGAAAGUGGACAAAUUUCUGAGCUGGACACCACCGGACAUGACUUUUCAGCUGUGCCAGAAAUGACAAAAUACUAAGGAAGGGUGUGCAUCUGCCCCUGCUCUGUUAUCAGCAUUGCCCUUCCUAGUCAUGACGUGGGGGGCCUCAAGCAACAGCAGACUGAUGACAAGGUAAAGAUGAAGUAUGGAUCAGCCUCAAGUGAACCCAGACUGAGGAAAAGGUGAAGACUAAGCAUGGAUCAGCCUGAAGCAACUGGAGACUGAGGACAAGGUGAAGACCAAGCAUGGAUCAGUCUCACACAGAGAUACGACCGGCUACAGUCUUUCCAAGUUUUCUCUGGACAUUUCCAAUAUUCCCUUACCAGGAAAGUCCUUGCCUGCAGUCCAGAAGCGCUCUUACCUCCAAGAUCAGGAAGAAGCUGCCGACUGUCCAAAGAAUAUUUCAAGUUAGGAUUUAGGCUUUAGGAUUAUCAAGAAGAGGAUUCACCAAGAAGAGCAUUCAUCGAGAAUAGGAUUCAUCAAGAAGAGGAUUCAGCCAGAUUAGGAUUCAUCAAGAAUAGGAUUCAUCCACAAUAGGAGUUAGGAUUUUGGAAUAGGUUUAGGCUUCAUAGUUACGGAUGUAUCUGUGUUCUGAUAGUUUUGAAUAAAUGUGUUUGAUUGUA